GACGAACGCUGGCGGCACGCCUAACACAUGCAAGUCGAACGGACGAGAAAGAAGCUUGCUUCUUUCAAGUUAGUGGCGGACGGGUGAGUAACACGUGAGGAACCUGCCUUAGUGAGGGGGAUAACGUUCGGAAACGGACGCUAAUACCGCAUAACAUAUACGAACGGCAUCGUUUGUAUAUCAAAAGGAGCAAUCCGCAUUAAGAUGGCCUCGCGUCUGAUUAGCUAGUUGGUGAGGUAACGGCCCACCAAGGCGACGAUCAGUAGCCGGACUGAGAGGUUGAACGGCCACAUUGGGACUGAGACACGGCCCAGACUCCUACGGGAGGCAGCAGUGGGGAAUAUUGGGCAAUGGGGGAAACCCUGACCCAGCAACGCCGCGUGAAGGAAGAAGGGCCUUCGGGUUGGUAAACUUCUUUUACCUAGGGACGAAGAACGUGACGGUACCUGGAGAAAAAGGACAACGGCUAACUACGUG
rnacentral:rRNA from 1 species